rnacentral:lncRNA from 1 species
AGCCAAGAUCAUCAUCAUCUAGCUCAAGAGGUCGAGGUGCAAGGUAUAGGUUUGCCCUUGAUAGAUUUUCUGUUUAGGAUAGAAUGUUGUACUGUCAAGGGGGGCUCUCAAGUGAUUAUUUGCAUCCUUGCAUCAUACUUCUUGGUUCUUAUUUGGUGUUUCUCUUUGUGAGUUUUAGAGCUUAUGGUCAUCUUCUUGACAAGCUCGAGUUCAUCGAAAACAGAGUCCAUAUGCAACUACUAUGACGUUUUCGAUGUUGGAGUUUUUGCC